rnacentral:rRNA from 1 species
AUAAGCAAUUAUACAGCGAAACUGCGAAUGGCUCAUUAUAUAAGUUAUCGUUUAUUUGAUAGUACCUUACUACUUGGAUAACCGUGGUAAUUCUAGAGCUAAUACAUGCUAAAAAUCCCGACUUCGGAAGGGAUGUAUUUAUUAGAUUAAAAACCAAUGCCCUCCGGGGCUCACUGGUGAUUCAUGAUAACUCCUCGAAUCGCAUGGCCUUGCGCCGGCGAUGGUUCAUUCAAAUUUCUUCCCUAUCAACUUUCGAUGUUUGGGUAUUGGCCAAACAUGGUUGCAACGGGUAACGGAGGGUUAGGGCUCGACCCCGGAGAAGGAGCCUGAGAAACGGCUACUACAUCCAAGGAAGGCAGCAGGCGCGCAAAUUACCCAAUCCCGACUCGGGGAGGUAGUGACAAUAAAUACUGAUACAGGGCUCUUUUGGGUCUUGUAAUUGGAAUGAGUACAAUUUAAAUCCCUUAACGAGGAACAAUUGGAGGGCAAGUCUGGUGCCAGCAGCCGCGGUAAUUCCAGCU